CCCCCCCCCGCGGUGGAGUCAAGCGCGGGCCGCAGCCUCCCCCCUCCCCCGCAUUCCGGGUGGGGGCGGCGGGAGGCCGCGAGGUGACGGGAGGGAACAUGGUGGCGCCGGGGGCGGCAGGGUGGGAGCCCCCGCGGCUCCCUGCCGCCGCGGCCCGGCCCAUGGGGACGCCGCGGUCCCGCGUCAGGGCCGCCUGCGGCGUGAGCAGGCAGAGCCGGGGCGGCUCGCGUGUGGGCAGGGGGGGCGCAGGCGGCGGUGCUUCAUCCGGCCGGCUGCGAGGCGGCAGCUGCCUGAAUCAUGCGGCUGGUUCUGGGGCGUUAAAAGUGGAAAAUUUCCAGUCGGCUGAAGGCCUAUUUGGGGAGCAGCCGUGCGAGCGAGGCAGGGUGCUCCUCAAAACACGGCGCGGUGGUGGGCUGCAGCUCGUAGCGCAGCCGUGAAAAACUGUCAAGACUCAUUUAAAGACUGGAGGUAGCCAUGGUCUGCCUGGGACUGUGUGCAUUAUAAGCAUGAAGCAUCACACUGAAAGGUUGCACCCAGGAAUAUCUGCCCAGAUUUUCCCGGAGUCCAUUGAUGCCAAGGAGAGACAACCACUAAUGCAAGCACUGACAGGAUGCAGGCGAUUGCAUUAUUUUAGCCAGAAGUAAAUGUGGCAUUGCUGGUGCUAAUCCAGGGCGUGCACUUUAACACAUCAUGUCACAGCAAUUGGCGGUAACCAGAAACCUUUGCUGAUUACACAGCAGGAGCCAGAAAAUGGAAGAAAAAAAAUUGAGAGCUGUAAAGGACUGCUGGCUCAGAGCUGCUGUUGCCAUAGAGCUGCUGCCGACGAAAAACUGCAGCAUGGAUUUCUUCUGCUGUUGAAGGUAAGAUGAGGGCACAGCAAAGACUGUAGGAGGGGGAAGGGAGGGGAGGCAAGGGGAGGGAGAAGAGGAAGAAAGUCUGUGUCCUUGCUGUCUAAAAAAGGAAAUCCAGUUUCAGUGUUCAUGAGCAGAACUGCUGGUGCAGAAGAACAAAGCUAUCGGUUGUUUAGAGUAGCAAGAGUGAUGAGCAAGCAAGCACACUGCCAUGCUUUCAGAAGGAAAUACUGCAAAGGAAGGAAGGAGAAGAAGAGCAACUUUAUCAUUUAGAAAAUAGCCACUGCUGCUUCAAGAUAGCUGCUUUUUGACACUACUUUGGCAUUAAUAUUGUUCUGCUGGGUAAAGACAGCUGUGAAAAACUAAAUAGGUAGAUAAGAAGAAAAAGUCAUGCUAAAAAUUUUCAGUGUAAUCCUGAGUAGAUGCAUUCUGUCUGUAUUAGAAUGUAUCAGUUGUUGCAUUCAGCUGUGUAGUACUGUGAAACUUCUAAAUGUGAUAACUAUAUUUACAGCAAGAUUAUUAUGAUAAAUUGAUCUUUGGAUGUGCUUUAAAGUGGAUGCAUUUUGUGUGAAAAUGUGUAACAAAUAACCGAAAGGUAAAUAUUAGAUACUCAAGAAUACUCAUACUUGUUCUUAUAAAUAUAGAACUGACAUCAGACUUGCUUUAGGAGCAAUCCUGUAAAUGGGGUGAGCUUUGUAGAGUAAGACUGUCUGUGAUCUUUGCAGAAUUAUCUGCAAAGUGGUCAUCCCAAAAGCUGCUGCUGCUGCUGACGACGUUCCUACAUCUGUUUAGCUUGCCUGUUACAUAUUGCAGCUUUUUGCUGUCCUUCCCUUGCUGGUUCUCUCUGUAUUUCAGCUCUUUCUGAGAUAAGCUGAACCCAUGUGCCCUGUGCAGCAAACCCAGCACGCCUGUGAUGUUUGCAUAAUGGGGCCUUGAAGAGAAUGAAAUUUUUAGAAGGUGUACUAAAUACAGUGAUAAUGGUGAUUGUCUUAGUUAUGUAAUGUCGAUAUUACGGACCAUCUGAUCACUGUAUUAUUGAGAGUGCUUGGGUAGAACAGCCCUUCCUUACAAUUUCUUAUACUGCGCUUUAUUGUGUGUUUGACCGUUUCUCCUCAGGUCGUGGUUUGAGGAUUGAGUCGGAGUGAAUUUUUCCUAUAGCAGCCUGUUAUCUUGAUCCGGAAUCUGCAAUUCAGGUUGCAAAUAAAUAAAAGUUUAUUAGGGAUUCUUGCUUUUGUUAGCAUUACAGUCUCUCCCUGAGAAAUUGCCAUUCUCUGAGAUUAUAACGCUUAGAUCAUUUAUGUUAUUUCUCAAUUGUGA